rnacentral:rRNA from 1 species
CCAUCAGAGGGGGAUAACACUUGGAAACAGGUGCUAAUACCGCAUAACAGUUUAUGCCGCAUGGCAUAAGAGUGAAAGGCGCUUUCGGGUGUCGCUGAUGGAUGGACCCGCGGUGCAUUAGCUAGUUGGUGAGGUAACGGCUCACCAAGGCCACGAUGCAUAGCCGACCUGAGAGGGUGAUCGGCCACACUGGGACUGAGACACGGCCCAGACUCCUACGGGAGGCAGCAGUAGGGAAUCUUCGGCAAUGGACGAAAGUCUGACCGAGCAACGCCGCGUGAGUGAAGAAGGUUUUCGGAUCGUAAAACUCUGUUGUUAGAGAAGAACAAGGACGUUAGUAACUGAACGUCCCCUGACGGUAUCUAACCAGAAAGCCACGGCUAACUACGUGCCAGCAGCCGCGGUAAUACGUAGGUGGCAAGCGUUGUCCGGAUUUAUUGGGCGUAAAGCGAGCGCAGGCGGUUUCUUAAGUCUGAUGUGAAAGCCCCCGGCUCAACCGGGGAGGGUCAUUGGAAACUGGGAGACUUGAGUGCAGAAGAGGAGAGUGGAAUUCCAUGUGUAGCGGUGAAAUGCGUAGAUAUAUGGAG